rnacentral:lncRNA from 1 species
UUAAAUAAAUUUUUAAAUUUUUUACUAUUAAUAAAUUUAUAAAAUUUUUUAAAAUUCUACUUAAAACUUAAAUUUAAUAAAGUAAUUUAUUGUAAUAUUUAAAUAUAAUUUAUUAUAAAAUUUAUUAUUAUAUUUAAAUAUAAAUAAUCUGUAUUAAUAUAGUACAAUUAAUAAUUUUAUAGUAAAAAUAAUAUAUUAUAAUAUAUGACAUAUUAUAUUUAUAUAAUUUAAUUUUAAUUCAAUUUAUAAUUUUAAUAAAGUUUGUAAUUAAACAUUUGAAUAGCACUAUUCCACUAAAAUGGUGGAAUAAUAAAUCCAAAGCUACUCUGGGAUAGCCGGGAAUAGUAAGGUUUG